rnacentral:rRNA from 1 species
CCUACGGGAGGCAGCAGUGAGGAAUAUUGGUCAAUGGACGAGAGUCUGAACCAGCCAAGUAGCGUGAAGGAUGACUGCCCUAUGGGUUGUAAACUUCUUUUAUAUGGGAAUAAAACGUUCCACGUGUGGGAUUUUGUAUGUACCAUAUGAAUAAGGAUCGGCGAACUCCGUGCAAGCAGCAGAGGUAAUACGGAGGAUCCGAGCGUUAUCCGGAUUUGUUGGGUGUAACGGGAGCGUAGGUGGAUUGUUAAGUCAGUUGUGAAAGUUUGCGGCUCAACCGUAAAAUUGCAGUUGAAACUGGCAGUCUUGAGUACAGUAGAGGUGGGCGGAAUUCGUGGGGUAGCGGUGACAUGCUGAGAUAUCACGAAGAACUCCGAUUGCGAAGGCAGUUCACUGGACUGCAACUGACACUGAGGCUCGACAGUGUGGGUAUCAAACAGGAUUAGAUACCCGAGUAGUC